rnacentral:lncRNA from 1 species
CCUUGUGCCCCUCUGCAGAGCCGCUGCCGGCAGGGCUGGGAUCAGACUCGGAGAGCGAGGAGCCCGUCCCUGUCCCUGUCCCCGUCCCUGUCCCCAGCCCGGUGCCACCGCGUACCAAGAGGCGCCGGGAGCUCGCCAGCGAGGAUGAGGAUGGUGGGAGCUCAGGUGGGUUCAGCCCCUCUGCCCUUUCCUGGGGGCUGAGUGGGCACUGCUGGGCUGGGGUUAUCCAGUCCCUGUCCCCUUUGCCACAUCCCUGGGGGGCUCAGCCCUCUCCCCUCUCCCUCCAUCCACAGGCACCAAUCCGGCCCCCCCAGCUCCCCGCUCCGAGGAGGAUGAGGAGGAGGAGGAAGAGGAUCCACAGCCCCGGGGGAGGAGGAAGCGCAUCCGCUGCCUGGAAGAGGAAGAGGAGGAGGACUGAGAGGCUUCCCAUAUCCUGCCUGUGCCCAGGCCUUGUGCUGUUUCCUGGGCUUUUUGCAGAUUUUAUUGGAUUGCUGCAGCUUUUCUGCAGUUUUUCUUGGGUUUCUACAGAUUUUCUGGGGUUUCUGCAGAUUUCCUUCUGCAGGUUUUGAUGCUGUUCUUAAAGGCUGCACCAGCAACCAGUUUCUCCACCUUCCCCCCCUUCCCCUGCUGUCACCAUUUACCCUGAAUUCCCUCCCUUUUCCCUCAGCUGUUGGGGUUUCGGGUUCUUUUUUUUCUUAAAACUUUUUAAAUCUAGACAGGGCCUAAAUAAAUAAAAGUGACUUUUGCCCUCCUUGGGUGUG